AAGGUAGCGAAAUUCCUUGUCGGGUAAGUUCCGACCUGCACGAAUGGUGUAACCAUGGCCACGCUGUCUCCACCCGAGACUCAGUGAAAUUGAAAUCGCAGUGAAGAUGCUGUGUACCCGCACCUAGACGGAAAGACCCCGUGAACCUUUACUACAGCUUGGCACUGAACAUUGACCCUACAUGUGUAGGAUAGGUGGGAGGCUUUGAAGCACAGUCGCUAGAUUGUGUGGAGCCGUCCUUGAAAUACCACCCUUGUAUGUUUGAUGUUCUAACAUUGGUCCCUUAUCGGGAUUGUGGACAGUGUCUGGUGGGUAGUUUGACUGGGGCGGUCUCCUCCCAAAUAGUAACGGAGGAGCACGAAGGUUAGCUAAUCACGGUCGGACAUCGUGAGGUUAGUGCAAUGGCAUAAGCUAGCUUAACUGCGAGACAGACACGUCGAGCAGGUACGAAAGUAGGUCAUAGUGAUCCGGUGGUUCUGUAUGGAAGGGCCAUCGCUCAACGGAUAAAAGGUACUCCGGGGAUAACAGGCUGAUACCGCCCAAGAGUUCAUAUCGACGGCGGUGUUUGGCACCUCGAUGUCGGCUCAUCACAUCCU
rnacentral:rRNA from 1 species